CCUACGGGGGGCAGCAGUGGGGAAUAUUGCACAAUGGAGGAAACUCUGAUGCAGCGACGCCGCGUGAACGAUGAAGGUCUUCGGAUCGUAAAGUUCUGUCCUAGGGGACGAUAAUGACGGUACCCUAGGAGGAAGCCCCGGCUAACUACGUGCCAGCAGCCGCGGUAAUACGUAGGGGGCGAGCGUUGUCCGGAAUUAUUGGGCGUAAAGGGUUCGCAGGCGGUCUUUUAAGUCAGGUGUGAAAGGUCACGGCUCAACCGUGGUAAGCAUUUGAAACUGAAAGACUUGAGUUAAGGAGAGGAAAGUGGAAUUCCUAGUGUAGCGGUGAAAUGCGUAGAUAUUAGGAGGAAUACCAGUGGCGAAGGCGACUUUCUGGACUUAUACUGACGCUGAGGAACGAAAGCGUGGGGAGCAAACAGGAUUAGAUACCCCUGUAGUC
rnacentral:rRNA from 2 species